rnacentral:misc_RNA from 1 species
GAUGAAGAACGCAGCGAAAUGCGAUAAGUAGUGUGAAUUGCAGAAUUCAGUGAAUCAUCGAAUCUUUGAACGCACAUUGCGCCCCUUGGUAUUCCAUGGGGCAUGCCUGUUCGAGCGUCAUUUGUACCUUCAAGCUUUGCUUGGUGUUGGGUGUUUGUCCAUUCUCUUGCAGAGGGACUCGCCUUAAAGUAAUUGGCAGCCAGUGUUUUGGUUUUGAAGCGCAGCACAAGUCGCGAUUCAAAGCUAUACGCCCGCUUCCACAAGCCUUUUUCACUUUUGACCUCGGAUCAGGUAGGGAUACCCGCUGAACUUAAGCAUAUCAAUAAGCGGAGG